rnacentral:rRNA from 1 species
CCUGAGAAACGGCUACCACAUCUACGGAAGGCAGCAGGCGCGCAAAUUGCCCAAUCCCGACACGGGGAGGCAGUGACAAGAAAUAACAACUCUUGGAUUUCUAAGAAGUGUAAUGAGGAUAAUUUACAACCCUUACCGAAAGCAAUUGGAGGGCAAGUCUGGUGCCAGCAGCCGCGGUAAUUCCAGCUCCAAUAGCGUAUAUUAAAGUUGUUGCAGUUAAAAAGCUCGUAGUUGAAGUUCUGAUUGUUCGGGCCUCGCGCUUUAUAGCCGAGGAACCGACAGUCAUCCGCUUGCAAAUAUAUGUUCGCCUUUAACCGGGUGGCUAUAUGAGUAAGCAAUUUACCUUGAGAAAAACAGAGUGUUCCAGGCAGGUUUGUCCGGAAUGCAUUAGCAUGGAAUAAUAGAAUAUGACUGAAGUCGAUUUAUUGGUUUAAGGCUUUAGUAAUGAUUAAUAGGAACAGUCGGGGGCAUUGGUACUUGACAGUCAGAGGUGAAAUUCUAGGAUUUGUCAAAGACUAACAAAUGCGAAAGCAUUUGCCAAGGAUGUUUUCAUUAAUCAAGAACGAAAGUUAGGGGAUCAAAGACGAUCAGAUACCGUCCUAGUCUUAACUAUAAACUAUACCGACUCGGAUUCAGAUGAAUCAAAAAGUUCAUUUGGGACCGUAGGAGAAAUCAAAGUUUUUGGGUUCUGGGGGAAGUAUGGUCGCAAGGCUGAAACUUAAAGGAAUUGACGGUUUUGCACCACCAUGGAGUGGAGUUUGCGGCUUAAUUUGACUCAACACUGGGAAACUCAUCAGGGCAAGAAGAUUUUAGGAUUGACAGAUUGAGAGUUCUUUCUUGAUUGGUCUAGUGGUGGUGCAUGGCCGUUCUUAGUUGGUGGAGUGAUUUGUCUGGUUAAUUCCGUUAACGAACGAGACCUUAACCUGCUAACUAGUAUUAGUAUCCCAAAUACUAACUACUUCUUAGAGGGACUAUGUGAUGUAAUCACAUGGAAGUUUGAGGCAAUAACAGGUCUGUUAUGCCCAAUCACUAGU